rnacentral:rRNA from 1 species
CCUACGGGAGGCAGCAGUGAGGGAUAUUGCACAAUGGGGGGAACCCUGAUGCAGCGACGCCGCGUGGGUGAAGGCGCGCUUCGGCGCGUAAAGCCCUAUCGGCAGGGAAGAAGAUGACGGUACCUGACCAGGAAGCCCCGGCUAACUACGUGCCAGCAGCCGCGGUCAUACGUAGGGGGCCAGCGUUAUCCGGAUUUACUGGGGGGAAAGGGGGCGCAGACGGCAAUGCAAGCCAGGAGUGAAAGCCCGGGGCCCAACCCCGGGACUGCUCUUGGAAAUGCAUGGCUGGAGUACAGGAGAGGCAGGCGGAAUUCCUAGUGUAGCGGUGAAAUGCGUAGAUAUUAGGAGGAACACCGGUGGCGAAGGCGGCCUGCUGGACUGUGACUGACGUUGAGGCCCGAAGGCGUGGGGAGCAAACAGGAUUAGAUACCCGGGUAGUC